UGCCAAUAAAAGCUGAAUCCUCGAGAGAGGUACGGAGGAACCAAAUUUUUGGGGUGAGUCCAUGCAAAUGGUAGGGAGGUCCUAUUGCCCGAGCCCGGCAGCUAACUUCGGAAGCGAAUUAUAGGAGGAGCC
rnacentral:sRNA from 2 species